AUUGAACGCUGGCGGCAGGCCUAACACAUGCAAGUCGAGCGGAUGAAGGGAGCUUGCUCCUGGAUUCAGCGGCGGACGGGUGAGUAAUGCCUAGGAAUCUGCCUGGUAGUGGGGGAUAACGUCCGGAAACGGGCGCUAAUACCGCAUACGUCCUGAGGGAGAAAGUGGGGGAGCUUCGGACCUCACGCUAUCAGAUGAGCCUAGGUCGGAUUAGCUAGUUGGUGGGGUAAAGGCCUACCAAGGCGACGAUCCGUAACUGGUCUGAGAGGAUGAUCAGUCACACUGGAACUGAGACACGGUCCAGACUCCUACGGGAGGGAGCAGUGGGGAAUAGUGGACAAUGGGCGAAAGCCUGAUACAGCCAUGCCGAGUGUGUGAAGAAGGUCUUCGGAUUGUAAAGCACUUUAAGUUGGGAGGAAGGGCAGUAAGUUAAUACCUUGCUGUUUUGACGUUACCAACAGAAUAAGCACCGGCUAACUUCGUG
rnacentral:rRNA from 1 species